UACGUAGGUGGCAAGCGUUAUCCGGAAUUAUUGGGCGUAAAGCGCGCGCAGGCGGUUUCUUAAGUCUGAUGUGAAAGCCCACGGCGUCAACCGUGGAGGGUCAUUGGAAACUGGGGAACUUGAGUGCAGAAGAGGAAAGCGGAAUUCCUGGUGUAGCGGUGAAAUGGCGCAGAUAAUCAGGAGGAACACCGGUGGCGAAGGCGGAUCUCUGGGCCUUACCUGACGCUGAGGCGCGAAAGCUAGGGGAGCGAAACAGG
rnacentral:rRNA from 1 species